rnacentral:rRNA from 1 species
UACGUAGGGGGCUAGCGUUAUCCGGAAUUACUGGGCGUAAAGGGUGCGUAGGUGGUUUCUUAAGUCAGAGGUGAAAGGCUACGGCUCAACCGUAGUAAGCCUUUGAAACUGGGAAACUUGAGUGCAGGAGAGGAGAGUGGAAUUCCUAGUGUAGCGGUGAAACGCGUAGAUAUUAGGAGGAACACCAGUUGCGAAGGCGGCUCUCUGGACUGUAACUGACACUGAGGCACGAAAGCGUGGGGAGCAAACAGG